rnacentral:rRNA from 1 species
AACGAACGCUGGCGGCAGGCUUAACACAUGCAAGUCGAACGCAUCGCAAGAUGAGUGGCAGACGGGUGAGUAACGCGUGGGAAUCUACCCAGUUCUACGGAACAACAGUUGGAAACGACUGCUAAUACCGUAUACGCCCUACGGGGGAAAGAUUUAUCGGAAUUGGAUGAGCCCGCGUAAGAUUAGCUAGUUGGUGGGGUAAUGGCCUACCAAGGCGACGAUCUUUAGCUGGUCUGAGAGGAUGAUCAGCCACACUGGGACUGAGACACGGCCCAGACUCCUAAGGGAGGCAGCAGUGGGGAAUAUUGGACAAUGGGCGCAAGCCUGAUCCAGCCAUGCCGCGUGAGUGAUGAAGGCCCUAGGGUUGUAAAGCCCUUUCGGCGGGGAAGAUAAUGACGGUACCCGCAGAAGAAGCCCCGGCUAACUUCGUGCCAGCCGCCGCGGUAAAAC